UGAGGAAUAUUGGUCAAUGGGCGGGAGCCUGAACCAGCCAAGCCGCGUGAGGGAAUAAGGCGCCAAGCGUCGUAAACCUCUUUUGUCAGGGAACAAAAGCGGGCACGCGUGCCCGUCCGAGUGUACCUGAGAAAAGCAUCGGCUAACUCCGUGCC
rnacentral:rRNA from 1 species